UACGUAGGUGGCAAGCGUUGUCCGGAUUUACUGGGCGUAAAGAGCGCGCAGGCGGUCGUUCAAGUCGCGUGUGAAAGCCCCCGGCUCAACUGGGGAGGGUCACGCGAUACUGAUCGACUCGAAGGCAGGAGAGGGUAGUGGAAUUCCCGGUGUAGUGGUGAAAUGCGUAGAUAUCGGGAGGAACACCAGUGGCGAAAGCGGCACCCUGGCAUUAGCCUGACGCUCAGGUGCGAAAGCGUGGGGAGCGAACGGG
rnacentral:rRNA from 1 species